UAACAAGCUUACAAUUUUCAAAACAUAGCCAUAUUGGGUUAUCUAUGGUAGGGCAAAUAUCCACCUCACCAGUACAUUUUUACGAUAUCACAUUACACUAGAAAAUUAAGCAAUUCAUAUUUUUAUUAGGAAUGUUAAUGAAAGAAUGUUAUUAUAAUCUGCAUGGCCUAUUUUAAAGCUUAAGCAUGUUACACAUUAUUUUAUCAAAGAUUGUUAAAAUAAUAUUAAUAGCUUUAGACUUUAGAGGAAUAAAUGUUUUUGACUAAAAAACAUUUCAAUAGAAUACUUCAUUCCUGUGUGGUUUUGAAUGAGGUACCAUUAUAUCACAUACUGAGAAUGGUUCUGUGCCCUGAUUCUUAAUUAAUUCCGAUCAGUCUUACUCUUUUACUGGAGAAGUUUGCCAGUUUAACCAGUAUGCUGUGAUAAUUUAAUAUGUUUCACAGAUAACUGAGGAGACAUGAGACCUGUCAUCCUGUCCAUGAACGUAUGUAAUGCAUUUCUGAUACGUCUUCACCUGCUCUGUCUAUAGGCAAAUGUCACUUUUAUGUCUGUGCCAAGAAAAUAAAAAUCUUUUCU
rnacentral:lncRNA from 1 species